rnacentral:rRNA from 1 species
GAUGAACGCUGGCGGCGUGCCUAAUACAUGCAAGUCGAGCGAAGCGGGGACGGGUGAGUAACACGUGGAUAACCUCCUAUAAGACUGGGGUAACUUCGGGAAAACGGAGAUAAACAGGAAACUUAUAGAUGGAUCCGAGCUGGAUUAGGUAGUGGGUAAGGUAACGGCUUACCAAGGCAAAGAUGCAUAGCCGACCUGAGAGGGUGAUCGGCCACAUUGGAACUGAGACACGGCCCAGACUCCUACGGGAGGCAGCAGUAGGGAAUCUUCCGCAAUGGGCGAAAGCCUGACCGAGCAACGCCGCGUGAGUGAUGAAGGUCUUCGGAUCGUAAAACUCUGUUAUUAGGGAAGCGGUACCUAAUCAGAAAGCCACGGCUAACUACGUGCCAGCAGCCGCGGUAAUUC